CAGCAGUAGCCACGGUAAUACAGAGGGUGCGAGCGUUAAUCGGAUUUACUGGGCGUAAAGCGUGCGUAGGCGGCUUUUUAAGUCGGAUGUGAAAUCCCUGAGCUUAACUUAGGAAUUGCAUUCGAUACUGGGAAGCUAGAGUAUGGGAGAGGAUGGUAGAAUUCCAGGUGUAGCGGUGAAAUGCGUAGAGAUCUGGAGGAAUACCGAUGGCGAAGGCAGCCAUCUGGCCUAAUACUGACGCUGAGGUACGAAAGCAUGGGGAGCAAACAGGAUUAGAUACCCCUGUAGUCCCUGUCUCUUAUAC
rnacentral:rRNA from 1 species